rnacentral:rRNA from 1 species
CGUAGGUGGCAAGCGUUGUCCGGAUUUAUUGGGUUUAAAGGGUGCGUAGGUGGCCUAUUAAGUCAGUGCUGAAAUAUCCCGGCUUAACCGGGAGGGUGGCAUUGAUACUGAUGGGCUUGAGUAGAGUCGAGGUAGGCGGAAUUGACGGUGUAGCGGUGAAAUGCUUAGAUAUCGUCAAGAACACCUAUUGCGAAGGCAGCUUACUAGGCUCAAACUGACACUGAUGCACGAAAGUGUGGGGAUCAAACAGGAUUAGAUACCCUGGUAGUCCACACUGUAAACGUUGAUGACUCGCUGUUGGCGAUACAAUGUCAGCGGCUGAGAGAAAUCGUUAAGUCAUCCACCUGGGGAGUACGCCGGCAACGGUG